rnacentral:rRNA from 1 species
AGAACGAACGCUGGCGGCAUGCCUAACACAUGCAAGUCGAACGAACCCUUCGGGGUUAGUGGCGCACGGGUGCGUAACGCGUGGGAACCUGCCUUUUGGUUCGGAAUAACAGUGAGAAAUUGCUGCUAAUACCGGAUAAUGUCUUCGGACCAAAGAUUUAUCGCCAUUAGAUGGGCCCGCGUAGGAUUAGCUAGUUGGUGGGUAAAGGCCUACCAAGGCGACGAUCCUUAGCUGGUCUUAGAGGAUGAUCAGCCACACUGGGACUGAGACACGGCCCAGACUCCUACGGGAGGCAGCAGUGGGGAAUAUUGGACAAUGGGCGAAAGCCUGAUCCAGCAAUGCCGCGUGAGUGAUGAAGGCCUUAGGGUGUAAAGCUCUCUUACCCGGAUGGAUAAUGACAGUACCGGAGAAUAAGCCCGGCCAACUCCGUGCCAGCAGCGC